UAGGGAAAUGCCUCCCCUUCACAGGCCUGAAGACAUGUCUGGAGGACAUUUAUUUUCACUGAUGAUUGAUGUUUGAGAGCCCAGAUAACUAAGGUGCUGCCAAUCUCAAGCAGUUGAAAAAGCCAUCAAGUUCACACUAGUAAGAAGCAUUCUUCCAUGGUCUCUGUUUUUGUUACUGUCUCCUGGUUUCUGCCCUAACCCUAAAAAAAUGAGUUGCUCAAAGGACCAAUGCCACCCAAUAUUGCAUGUUUUUAUUCUAAAGACUCUCAGAAGAAAUUGCUAUUCCUGUAUCCAUAACAGAAGACAAGGAUAGUCCCUAAGCUUUCCUUUGUCAGAAGACACCACAAGAGUGAGGAGUGGCAACCAAAGGAAUGGGAGAUGGGUAGAAUUGGAGUACAUCAUAUAAGGUUCCCAAAGAAUUAGUAAAAAUAGAAAAUGUGUAGGGUAAAAAUCAAAUUUCACUUUCUUCCAUUUGUUAAUAUGAAAUAAACAAUUAGUUGUCAGAUUAAUGAGACUCUAGUCUAUUGAAAACUAUGAGCAUAUUAAGCAAUUCAGUGUAGUUUUGACAAAGGUAUAGAAUUUACUGUACAACAAGGUUUCAAGAUGUUGUAUUUGGAACAGGAAAUUUCAUUUAACUCUUGAUAUAUCCACAGGAUAAGAUUUGGUGAUGAGGAAUAUUUAAAAUUAAAAUUAAAUUGAGUUCCUUUAUUGUAAAAAAAAUGAAAUGAAGGAAAGAAAAGCAAAGAAAUUCAUUAACAACAAGGAGAACAUGAGCACUGCUAUCAAUCAAUUUGACCUAACAUACAUUUAUAGAACACCUCAUCAGAUGAGAGUUCAUGACAGCAUGCAUGUCCAGUACACACAAGGCACUCUUCACAUGCUUUAUGUUACUUGCUAUUUAACAGGCUAAAUAAACAUAAAAGACCUGAUAUAAAGCUAUGUGUGCAAUCCAUCUACAGGGAAAUUAAAUUGUAAGUUAAUAGCAGAAUACAAUCUCUAAGAAUCACAAUACAUAAAAAUUAAGUUUUGUAUUCUUAAAAUAAUAAAUUAAAAGGGAAAGCAAAACUAUUUUGAAUCAAAUUGAAAAUAAAUGCUGUCACAGCCCCAGAGUGCCAUACAAUCUAACUUUAAAAAUAUAAAUCACAAACACUGUGAAGCUUCCCAAGUUGGGUCUCCUCCAUCUUGCAUAAGUGUCUCUUUCAGGACAGAAAUUGUUGAAGUGUGGAUGAACAAUUUGCUGUUUAUAUAUGGCACAUAUCAGAAUGUAUGUAACCUGCUGAAGAACUUGAGUGUAAGAAAAGUUCCUGUAACUUAUCUUUACCAAUAGGACAUGGAAAUAGAAUCAUACAGUUGGUAGUAUUUUGAGAUUGGUUUAUUUCACUGAUAAUGAUACCUGAUACAUUUGUGAUUCAUAAAAUUUUGUAUAUCAAUGCAUUCAAUCUUACUGCUACUGAGUUUUCCAUUAAAUGUAUGAAGGGUUGUUUAUUCAUUCACCCCUGAAAUGAAACUGAGGUGUUUCCAGCAUUUAACACUUAGUGAAUAAAACUUUCAUGAGAUGUAUGGA